UACAGAGGUCUCAAGCGUUGUUCGGAUUCAUUGGGCGUAAAGGGUGCGUAGGUGGCGCCGUAAGUCAGGUGUGAAAUUUCGGAGCUCAACUCCGAAACUGCAUUUGAUACUGCGGUGCUUGAGGACUGGAGAGGAGACUGGAAUUCACGGUGUAGCAGUGAAAUGCGUAGAUAUCGUGAGGAAGACCAGUGGCGAAGGCGGGUCUCUGGACCUUACCUGACGCUGAGGCGCGAAAGCUAGGGGAGCAAACAGG
rnacentral:rRNA from 1 species